UGUAUCUGAAAUCAAGUGUGACGACCCGCUGAACUUAAGCAUAUCAAUAAGCGGAGGAAAAGAAAUCAAAUGAGAUUUCCCUAGUAGCUGCGAGUGAACUGGAAUCAAGCCUAUUGCCAAUUCUUAUGUUUUGUACAAUAAGAGAUGAGGUGUAAAGGUAUUUCGUGUUCAGCAGUGGCACGGCCUAAUUAUUAUUGAGUCAGUGCUCAAAGAAGGUGAAAAGCCUGUAUGGUUGCGCCGAUCUGUUGAACCGUGAUACUGGAGAGUCUAGUUGUUUGAGAGUACAACUUAAAGUUGGUGGUAAAUUUCAUCAAAGGCUAAAUAUACGAAGGGACUAAUAGCGAACAAGUACCAUGAGGGAAAGUUGAAAAGAACUCUGACGAGAGAGUUCAACAGUACGUGAAACCACAUUGAGUAAAACAGAUAACUGUGUUGUUAUGUGGUGUGCCUAUCAACAGUCACUUCGGCGUUGCCACGUUUUGGGUGUAGGCUGUCUAUUCAGCUGAAUGCCUAAAACUAGCAUAGUCGGAGGUGCUGUGCACUAGUGCGCACUCGAUCAUUGAGAAGCUAUGCCGCUGCUGCAUCGGUAUGUGUCAGUCCGCACUUAGUGUGUAGUCACAUGCUGGGUUGUGCUAGCCUUGGCGUAGUUUAGCUGUGUGACAGCUGUGGGUUGCGUUUGUCGAUUGUAGCUGCUGUAUCUGCGAAUUGGUUUAUUCCUUUUUGCGGUGAGUAUGUUGCAGGACGCAAGCAGCCCGCCAUCAAUGGUAACAUUAGU
rnacentral:rRNA from 1 species